CAAUAGUUGUAAAUUUUCUCCAUGAACAGGUUAAAAUUCUACAUUACACUAUGCAAGCAAGAUAAGAAACCAUUCAACAUCUAAUUUUGUUUUAUAACAGGUUACAGCAUUCUUUAAUGGUGAAGUUUCUGAAAUUCUACCAUUCACAAGGAUUUUUAAAGGAAGUAUCUGUGGAGCUGAAUGUCCGUAUAUGAAGACAACAAAAGCUGAAGCAGCCUUUUUGGAAGACACACUUCAGAAUUUAGCGGCAGGAUUAAAUCAGGAAGGAAUAAUUUAUAUAGAAAAAAAAGAAACUACAUUUGAAACAGGCGAUCUUAAUGGAAUUUGCAUUGGAAUCAAAGAAUUCCAAAUUCCAGAUUUAAAUAUGAGGCCAGGAGACAGUGUAGUUGGAUUGAUAAGUACCUAAUUUAGUGAGGAAGACAUCAUCAAAAUAUUAAAAUUUAUGAAGAGAUCAAAUUUCACAAUAGCGGACACAAGUCCUUUCCAAAAGAACACAUUUGGAAAAUUUUUAACUGAAAUAACCAGGACUUAUUCAGCAGAAGUACAACACCUGCUCAGAAUGAUGCUUGCAAUUGUAGACAUGAGUCAAGGACUACAUGGAAUCACAAAAUUCAUUCCUGAGGAUUUGUCAAUCAAACUGAAUGCAGACUGCUGGUCGAUCCCACCUAUAUAUGCAUGGAUUAAA